rnacentral:antisense_RNA from 1 species
CUUCAACGAGCCGAGCCACAGCGGCUGUUCGCGGCCCUGUCCGUAGGUGGCCAGCAGCGCCUCGGCCUC